rnacentral:rRNA from 1 species
UACGGAGGGUGCAAGCGUUAUCCGGAUUUACUGGGCUUAAAGGGUGCGUAGGCGGGCUUUUAAGUCAGCGGUGAAAGCUUCGAGCUUAACUCGGAAAUUGCCGUUGAUACUAUUAGUCUUGAAUUAAGUUGAGGUGGGCGGAAUAUGUCAUGUAGCGGUGAAAUGCUUAGAUAUGACAUAGAACACCGAUUGCGAAGGCAGCUCGCUAAACUUAUAUUGACGCUGAGGCACGAAAGCGUGGGGAGCAAACAGG